CCUGUUUAACAAAAACAUGUYUUUUUGAGUUAUUUUUAAAGUCUGACCUGCCCACUGAAUAAAAUUAAAUGGCCGCAGUAUUUUAACUGUGCAAAGGUAGCAUAAUCAUUAGUCUUUUAAUUGAAGGCUGGUAUGAACGGUUGGACGAGGUAUAAGCUGUUUCAUAUGAAUUUAUAAUAGAAUUUUAUAUUUUAGUUAAAAAGCUAAAAUUUAAUUAAAAGACGAGAAGACCCUAUAAAUCUUUAUACUUUAUAUUGUUUAAGUUUUGUGGGUUUAUUUUAUUUUUAUAGUUAAAAGUAUUUUGUUGGGGCGAUGUUAAAAUUUAAUGAACUUUUAAUUAUUUAGAACCAUUAAUUUAUGAGUUAUUGAUCCAUUAAUAGUGAUUAUAAGUUUAAGUUACUUUAGGGAUAACAGCGUAAUUUUUUUGGAGAGUUCUUAUCGAUAAAAAAGUUUGCGACCUCGAUGUUGGAUUAAGAUAUAUUUUUAGGUGUAGCCGCUUAAAC
rnacentral:rRNA from 1 species